AUUUCCCUACGGGAGGCAGCAGUGGGGAAUAUUGCACAAUGGGGGGAACCCUGAUGCAGCGACGCCGCGUGGGUGAAGAAGCGCCUCGGCGCGGAAAGCCCUGUCAGCAGGGAAGAAAAUGACGGUACCUGAAGAAGAAGCCCCGGCUAACUACGUGCCAGCAGCCGCGGUAAUACGUAGGGGGCAAGCGUUAUCCGGAUUUACUGGGUGUAAAGGGGGCGCAGACGGCGAUGCAAGCCAGGAGUGAAAGCCCGGGGCCCAACCCCAGGACUGCUCUUGGAACUGCGGGGCUGGAGGGCAGGAGG
rnacentral:rRNA from 1 species